rnacentral:rRNA from 1 species
UACGAGGGGGGCGAGCGUUGUUCGGAAUUAUUGGGCGUAAAGGGUGCGUAGGCGGUUUGUUAAGUCUUAUGUGAAAUCUACAGGCUCAACUUGUAGUCUGCAUGAGAAACUGCCGGGCUUGAGUAUGGGAGAGGUGAGUGGAAUUCCUGGUGUAGCGGUGAAAUGCGUAGAUAUCAGGAGGAACACCUGUGGCGAAAGCGGCGCACUGGACCACAACUGACGCUGAGGCGCGAAAGCUAGGGGAGCAAACAGG